rnacentral:rRNA from 1 species
UACGAAGGGGGCGAGCGUUGUUCGGAAUCACUGGGCGUAAAGGGCGCGUAGGCGGCUCAUGAAGGCUGUGGUGAAAGUCCGGGGCUCAACCUCGGAUCGGCCGUGGCGACUCGUGGGCUGGAGCACUGUAGAGGCGGGUGGAAUUCCGGGUGUAGCGGUGGAAUGCGUAGAGAUCCGGAGGAACACCGAUGGCGAAGGCAAUCCCCUGGGCCUGCACUGACGCUCAUGCACGAAAGCGUGGGGAGCAAACAGG